rnacentral:rRNA from 1 species
AGAGUUUGAUCCUGGCUCAGGAUGAACGCUAGCGACAGGCUUAACACAUGCAAGUCGAGGGGCAGCACAGGUAGCAAUACCGGGUGGCGACCGGCGCACGGGUGAGUAACGCGUAUGCAACUUGCCUAUCAGAGGGGGAUAACCCGGCGAAAGUCGGACUAAUACCGCAUGAAGCAGGGGCCCCGCAUGGGGAUAUUUGCUAAAGAUUCAUCGCUGAUAGAUAGGCAUGCGUUCCAUUAGGCAGUUGGCGGGGUAACGGCCCACCAAACCGACGAUGGAUAGGGGUUCUGAGAGGAAGGUCCCCCACAUUGGUACUGAGACACGGACCAAACUCCUACGGGAGGCAGCAGUGAGGAAUAUUGGUCAAUGGGCGUAAGCCUGAACCAGCCAAGUCGCGUGAGGGAUGAAGGUUCUAUGGAUCGUAAACCUCUUUUAUAAGGGAAUAAAGUGCGGGACGUGUCCCGUUUUGUAUGUACCUUAUGAAUAAGGAUCGGCUAACUCCGUGCCAGCAGCCGCGGUAAUACGGAGGAUCCGAGCGUUAUCCGGAUUUAUUGGGUUUAAAGGGUGCGUAGGCGGCCUUUUAAGUCAGCGGUGAAAGUCUGUGGCUCAACCAUAGAAUUGCCGUUGAAACUGGGAGGCUUGAGUAUGUUUGAGGCAGGCGGAAUGCGUGGUGUAGCGGUGAAAUGCUUAGAUAUCACGCAGAACCCCGAUUGCGAAGGCAGCCUGCUAAGCUGCAACUGACAUUGAGGCUCGAAAGUGUGGGUAUCAAACAGGAUUAGAUACCCUGGUAGUCCACACGGUAAACGAUGAAUACUCGCUGUUUGCGAUAUAC